AGAUUUCUGAGAUGAAUCUCAAAAUCUUUGGAUAUAUAUAUAUAUAUAUAUGUGUGUGUGUGUGUGUGUGUAUGUAAAAUGUAUAUAAAUAACCACAA
ensembl:miRNA